AAAAAUAGAAAAUGAAAGUAUAUAUAUAUAUGAUUUCAGUUGUUCAAUUUUUUCUUUUUUAUAUUUUUCGAUAAUGAAAAUGUCAGCCGACAGCGUGAGGGUUGUGCUGUGGCGACAGUAACAACGACUUGUGUAAGGAACAUGCCACGUGUCGUUAUCGGAACCCUUUUCUCAUCAUCACAUCUCAGCCGUUGAUUAAAUUUCCUGCCAAGUGAAGUCUUCGUAUCACAUGUCGUUGGAUCACUUUUUUUUUGGUUGGUAUCCAUAUAUAACACACUAGAAAAAUGCAUAAAUAAAUCUUUUUGUUUAUUUAUAAUGUUUGUUUUGAACGUUAUUUAUGAAUAAUAUACUACUAUUUUUUUGUCAACUUUUACAAAUUUUGUAUAAAAGUCUAGAAGCGACUUGAGAACGACCUUUUUUCUUUUUUUUUUUACAAAAUUGUAAUUAAGUUUGGUAUGCAUCUUAAUGGCGUGAGUAGAACGUAUAAACAAUUUCAAAAUAUUCAUCAAAUGUUACGGCCAAGGUUCCGUUAAUCAUCUUACAAAAUUAUAAUCCUUUUCCAAAAAGCUCGACUCAUCAUCACUUCUUA
rnacentral:lncRNA from 1 species